CCACAAUGAGCGAAAGCUUGAUGGAGCGACACAGCGUGCACGAUGAAGGUCUUCGGAUUGUAAAGUGCUGUUAUAGGGAAAGAACACCUGGUUGAGGAAAUGCUUCCAGGCUGACGGUACCCUGUCAGAAAGCGAUGGCUAACUAUGUGCCAGCAGCCGCGGUAAUACAUAGGUCGCAAGCGUUAUCCGGAAUUAUUGGGCGUAAAGCGUUCGUAGGCUGUUUAUUAAGUCUGGAGUCAAAUCCCAGGGCUCAACCCUGGCUCGCUUUGGAUACUGGUAAACUAGAGUUAGAUAGAGGUAAGCGGAAUUCCAUGUGAAGCGGUGAAAUGCGUAGAUAUAUGGAAGAACACCAAAGGCGAAGGCAGCUUACUGGGUCUAUACUGACGCUGAGGGACGAAAGCGUGGGGAGCAAACAGGAUUAGAUACCCUGGUAGUCCACGCCGUAAACGAUGAUCAUUAGUCGGUGGAGAGUUCACUGACGCAGCUAACGCAUUAAAUGAUCCGCCUGAGUAGUAUGCUCGCAAGAGUGAAACUUAAAGGAAUUGACGGGGACCCGCACAAGCGGUGGAGCAUGUGGUUUAAUUUGAAGAUACGCGGAGAACCUUACCCACUCUUGACAUCCUUCGCAAUGCUAUAGAGAUAUAGCGGAGGUUAACGGA
rnacentral:rRNA from 2 species